rnacentral:rRNA from 1 species
UAUCAGGAGGAACACCGAUGGCGAAGGCAGGUCUCUGGGCAUUAACUGACGCUGAGGAGCGAAAGCAUGGGGAGCGAACAGGAUUAGAUACCCUGGUAGUCCAUGCCGUAAACGUUGGGCACUAGGUGUGGGGGACAUUCCACGUUUUCCGCGCCGUAGCUAACGCAUUAAGUGCCCCGCCUGGGGAGUACGGCCGCAAGGCUAAAACUCAAAGGAAUUGACGGGGGCCCGCACAAGCGGCGGAGCAUGCGGAUUAAUUCGAUGCAACGCGAAGAACCUUACCAAGGCUUGACAUGAACCGGAAAUACCUGGAAACAGGUGCCCCGCUUGCGGUCGGUUUACAGGUGGUGCAUGGUUGUCGUCAGCUCGUGUCGUGAGAUGUUGGGUUAAGUCCCGCAACGAGCGCAACCCUCGUUCUAUGUUGCCAGCGCGUUAUGGCGGGGACUCAUAGGAGACUGCCGGGGUCAACUCGGAGGAAGGUGGGGACGACGUCAAAUCAUCAUGCCCCUUAUGUCUUGGGCUUCACGCAUGCUACAAUGGCCGGUACAAAGGGUUGCGAUACUGUGAGGUGGAGCUAAUCCCAAAAAGCCGGUCUCAGUUCGGAUUGGGGUCUGCAACUCGACCCCAUGAAGUCGGAGUCGCUAGUAAUCGCAGAUCAGCAACGCUGCGGUGAAUACGUUCCCGGGCCUUGUACACACCGCCCGUCAAGUCACGAAAGUUGGUAACACCCGAAGCCGGUGGCCUAACCCCUUGUGGGAGGGAGCUGUCGAAGGUGGGACUGGCGAUUGGGACUAAGUCGA